CAGCCGCCGCGGUAAUACAGAGGGUGCGAGCGUUAAUCGGAUUUACUGGGCGUAAAGCGUGCGUAGGCGGCUUUUUAAGUCGGAUGUGAAAUCCCUGAGCUUAACUUAGGAAUUGCAUUCGAUACUGGGAAGCUAGAGUAUGGGAGAGGAUGGUAGAAUUCCAGGUGUAGCGGUGAAAUGCGUAGAGAUCUGGAGGAAUACCGAUGGCGAAGGCAGCCAUCUGGCCUAAUACUGACGCUGAGGUACGAAAGCAUGGGGAGCAAACAGGAUUAGAUACCCGAGUAGUCCCUGUCUCUUAUAC
rnacentral:rRNA from 1 species